rnacentral:rRNA from 1 species
GAGACAGCAGCCGCCACGGGAAAACGGAGGGGGCUAGCGUUGUUCGGAAUUACUGGGCGUAAAGCGCACGUAGGCGGCUUUGUAAGUUAGAGGUGAAAGCCUGGGGCUCAACUCCAGAAUUGCCUUUAAGACUGCAUCGCUUGAACGUCGGAGAGGUGAGUGGAAUUCCGAGUGUAGAGGUGAAAUUCGUAGAUAUUCGGAAGAACACCAGUGGCGAAGGCGGCUCACUGGACGACUGUUGACGCUGAGGUACGAAAGCGUGGGGAGCAAACAGGAUUAGAUACCCCUGUAGUCCCUGUCUCUUAUAC